AAAACAUAGCUUUAUGAUAUAAAGUGAAACCUGCCCACUGAUUUAAUUUAACGGCCGCAGUACCUUGACUGUGCUAAGGUAGCAUAAUAAAUUGACUUUUAAUUGAGGCCUUGAAUGAAAGGAUAGAUAAUUUCUGUCUUAAUAAAUUACUUAUAAAUUAUUUAAAAGGUGAAAAUCCCUUUAAUAAAUAUAAUAGACGAGAAGACCCUAGGAGUUUUAAUUUUGUUGGGGCGACAGUAUAGCAUUACCUAUAUAUAAUUAAAUUAAACGAAUAAUUUUAAUAAUAAAUAAACUACCCUAGGGAUAACAGCAUAAUUUUUAAAGUUUGUGACCUCGAUGUUGGA
rnacentral:rRNA from 1 species